rnacentral:rRNA from 1 species
GACGAACGCUGGCGGCGUGCUUAACACAUGCAAGUCGAACGGUGAAGGGACCGGUUUUUGCUGGUUCUGGAUGAGUGGCGAACGGGUGAGUAACACGUGAGUAACCUGCCCCCUUCUUCUGGAUAACCGCAUGAAAGUGUGGCUAAUACGGGAUAUUCUGCGCCUGCUGCAUGGUGGGUGUGGGAAAGAUAUUGUUUCGGUGGGGGAUGGGCUCGCGGCCUAUCAGCUUGUUGGUGGGGUGAUGGCCUACCAAGGCGGUGACGGGUAGCCGGCCUGAGAGGGUGGACGGUCACACCGGGACGGAGACACGGCCCAGACUCCUACGGGAGGCAGCAGUGGGGAAUAUUGCACAAUGGGCGCAAGCCUGAUGCAGCGACGCCGCGGGAGGGAUGGAGGCCUUCGGGUUGUAAACCUCUUUCGCCAGUGAAGCAGGCCUGUCCCUUUUGUGGGUGGGUUGACGGUAGCUGGAUAAGAAGCGCCGGCUAACUACGUG